GGAAUACUCCCUCCGUCCGAAAACACUUGUCAUUAAAAUGGAUGUAUCUAGAUGUAUUUUAGUUCUAGACACAUCCAUUUUGAUGACAAGUAAUUCCGGACGGAGGGAAUAGUAC
rnacentral:pre_miRNA from 1 species